rnacentral:rRNA from 1 species
GACGAACGCUGGCGGCGUGCUUAAUACAUGCAAGUCGAACGGUAAGGCCUUCGGGUACACGAGUGGCGAACGGGUGAGUAACACGUGGGUGAUCUGCCCCCUACUCUGGGAUAAGCCUGGGAAACUGGGUCUAAUACCGGAUAUGACCUCCUUCUGCAUGGUUGGUGGUGGAAAGUUUUUUCGGUAGGGGAUGAGCCCGCGGCCUAUCAGCUUGUUGGUGGGGUAAUGGCCUACCAAGGCGACGACGGGUAGCCGGCCUGAGAGGGCGACCGGCAACACUGGGACUGAGACACGGCCCAGACUCCUACGGGAGGCAGCAGUGGGGAAUAUUGCACAAUGGGCGAAAGCCUGAUGCAGCGACGCCGCGUGGGGGAUGACGGCCUUCGGGUUGUAAACCCCUUUCAGUCGGGACGAAGCGAGAGUGACGGUACCGAUAGAAGAAGCACCGGCCAACUACGUGCCAGCCGCCGCGGUAAAAC